CGGCUAACUUCKUGCCAGCAGCCGCGGUAAUACGAAGGGUGCAAGCGUUACUCGGAGAUUACUGGGCGUAAAGCGUGCGUAGGUGGUCGUUUAAGUCACGUUGUGAAAGCCCUGGGCUCAACCUGGGAACUGCAGUGGAUACUGGGCGACUAGAGUA
rnacentral:rRNA from 1 species